CUUCACUGGAAAGAGGAAGUGGGAGUCCAAAUUCCAUGUCUACAGUCCGGAUGACAUUGCGAACUGCUCACCCAAACUGAGCAAGUACCGGCAGCUGUGGAAUAGGGUGGCCCAUGACCAGUCAGCUCAGGGGAUGAGCAAAAGGGACAUGCAGGACGUGGUCAACAAGAAAUGGAGUCAGGAGAGCACCUUAGACUCAGCAGACAUGCCCACACCACUGUUAGAUCAACUCCACGGUCUAAAGGUAGCUCUCCUCCCAGGCACAAAACUGCGGGUUGAAAUUCAACUCCAAAGGUACAAGACGGAAGGUUCCCCGGUGUUAGAUAAAGUUGUAGAGGUUAUCAGAAAAUGUGUAAAAAAAAGAGUCAUCAAGCCGAGCCAGAUCAAAUGCCUUAUCGUACAGAAGCUUGUGGAAUGAGUGUUAGAGCAGCACAACAGUAAUCACAGUGUUUUCUUAUUCUCAUUUGUUUUUUGUUUUUUUAUGUUAUGAUUGAUCAAGGUCAUGGAGGCCAUACGUUUGAACCUGGUGAAUUGCUUGUUAGAUACUAGUAUGUCUUUUGAUACUAUCUGUGACUGUUUGAGUCCAUAUUUUUAUCUAUACAUACUGUACAAAGGUCUUGUAAGUAAUGUCUAAAUAAAGGUUGUUAGUAGUUAGUAAGGCAAUGCUUUUUCUAUCAUUUACUUAAAUGUAAUGGUAGGUUUUUCCACACUAGUUCUGUUGCAGAAGAAAUGUUUUUGUUUCAAAAAAUCUGUUUUGACACUUGUAUCAUCUAGCUUUCAUACCCAAAUUCCUUCUUUUUCAAACAUUGAUUACUUCGCCCCAUUCUCUGUCAUCCACAUACAUGACACUUUUUUAAGAUUAAGGACUUUUAUGAUUAAGAACUGGUUAAUUACAGUGUACGCCUUGUAAAUAAUGUCUAAAAAUAAAGUUGCUGUCAUGCUUAAACUUA